rnacentral:misc_RNA from 1 species
GAUGAAGAACGUAGCGAAAUGCGAUAAGUAAUGUGAAUUGCAGAAUUCAGUGAAUCAUCGAAUCUUUGAACGCACAUUGCGCCCGUCAGUAUUCUGGCGGGCAUGCCUGUUCGAGCGUCAUUACGCCCCUCAAGUCCCCUGUGGACUUGGUGUUGGGGAUCGGCGAGGCUGGUUUUCCAGCACAGCCGUCCCUUAAAUUAAUUGGCGGUCUCGCCGUGGCCCUCCUCUGCGCAGAAGUAAAACACUCGCAACAGGAGCCCGGCGCGGUCCACUGCCGUAAAACCCCCCAACUUUUUAUAGUUGACCUCGAAUCAGGUAGGACUACCCGCUGAACUUAAGCAUAUCAAUAAGCGGAGGA